AAGAGGUCGAGCAAUAGAAAUUGGGAAACGCUGCAUAAAGUGGCAUUAAGCAAGGGCAGCUCUUGCAUAGUGCUGCGUUGGCAGCCAGCGGAAUAAGCCCCCGGAGGAUCAGUGAGGAGCAGGACCUGCUUCAGGCUUCUGCCAGCAACGACCUGUUGCGCCAGGUGUCGCCUCCGAACAGAACCGAGCCUCACUCGAGCCGCGUGUCGACGCGGGCGUGUCGCGCGACGCCGCCGACGAGCAGCUGGUUCAUGGCGGGUGAACUUUGACCCAGGAGUGCGUCGUCAGCGGCGCUACAUAAAUAAGAACAGGCUCCUCGUCCGCUGCUCCUGCACGUUUUUCCCGGAUUUUGGCCGCUCGAUAAACGCGUGCAGGAUUGGCAGAUGCACAAAUGACAGAUCCUUGCAGUAACAAGCAAACAAAGCUGUGCUACUCAACCCCUGUUGCCAUGUUGCUUUCAUGUCACGCCGAGAAGACGAAGAAGUCAAAAUGGAGCACGCUGCCUUGAUGUUUUAUGUGAGCACUGACACCAGGGACUGUUACUAUCAAGGUCAUCACUUGUUCUUUUGGUACAGAUGCUGCUCAUUAUUAUUAACGAUAAUAAAGCCGAGCCUGUAAAGUCACUGGAUCCUCACACACCAACGCUGUCUGCAGUUAUUGGGAGAUGGGAGAUGCUCACACCAAAGACCGAGACAUUUGCAUUCAGAUGUACUGAUACGAGCAUUGAUUUAGUUUUGGUAUCGCCGUCAUCAUCAUCAUCACCACCGCCACACAUACAGUACACAUACACAGUAUGCUCCCCCUCUGCCAUCCUAGUGUGCCUCAGGGGAAGGACAGCCAUGCUGCUCUUCCCCUUUUCCUCAUGCUGUUGAAA